rnacentral:rRNA from 1 species
UACGUAGGGGCGAGCGUUGUCCGGAUUCAUUGGGCGUAAAGGGCUCGUAGGCGGCCAACUAAGUCGGAUGUGAAAUCCCCAGGCUCAACUUGGGAACUGCAUCCGAUACUGGAUGGCUUGAAUUCGGGAGAGGGAUGCAGAAUUCCAGGUGUAGCGGUGAAAUGACGUAGAUAUCUGGAGGAAUACCGGUGGCGAAGGCGGCAUCCUGGACCGACAUUGACGCUGAGGAGCGAAAGCUAGGGAGCAACGGG